rnacentral:rRNA from 1 species
AGGCAACGCGAAGAACCUUACCAGGGCUUGACAUCCCCUGACAACCCAAGAGAUUGGGCGUCCCUUCGGGGCAGGAAGACAGGUGGUGCAUGGUUGUCGUCAGCUCGUGUCGUGAGAUGUUGGGUUAAGUCCCGCAACGAGCGCAACCCCUACCGUCAGUUGCCAUCAUUAAGUUGGGCACUCUGGCGGGACUGCCGGUGAUAAAUCGGAGGAAGGUGGGGAUGACGUCAAAUCAUCAUGCCCCUUAUGUCCUGGGCUACACACGUACUACAAUGGCCGCUACAGCAGGAAGCGAAACCGCGAGGUGGAGCAAAUCCCCAAAGGCGGCCCCAGUUCGGAUUGCAGGCUGAAACUCGCCUGUAUGAAGUUGGAAUUGCUAGUAAUUGCAGGUCAGCAUACUGCAGUGAAUACGUUCCCGGGCCUUGUACACACCGCCCGUCACACCAUGAGAGUUUGUAACACCCGAAGUCGGUAGCUUAACUUUAUUGAGAGCGCCGCCGAAGGUGGGACAGAUGAUUAGGGUGAAGUCGUAACAAGGUAACC